CCUUCCCCGGCGCGCGUAGUUGUUGCGGCCCAGGAUAACAUGGCUGCCGCAGUUCGGCGUCCGAGUCACGUUUUGCUGUUUACGCUGCCGAGUUCCGUGUCUCCCGGGGUGGGAGGCUUAGGCUCCACAUGCUGCCGCUGCCCUCUUGGAGCUAAAAGAUAUCUACUUACAGAUAAUGUUGUGAAAUUAAAAGAAUUUCAGCAUAAGAAGGUGGUUAUUGCAAAUCAUCUUCCUGGUACUAAAGCAACCUACCUGAGAAACAUGAAAGAAAAAUUGGCCCAGAAUAAGCUCAUCUUGAAGGACGAGUUGAAAACCUUCCUUCAUUUGUGUGAUACCCGGGAUGAUGUGGAACUGGCUAAAAAUGUCAUUUACAGGUACCAUACAGAGAACAGAAAUGUCACUUUGGGAGAGUAUAAAUUUGGACCACUUUUCAUGAGGUUGUGCUACGAGUUGGAUCUUGAGGAAUCUGCAUUGGAACUCAUCAAAGACCAGCAUUUACGAGGUUUCUUCUCAGACACCACGUCGUUCAAUAUUUUGAUGGAUAUGUUAUUUAUGAAAGGCAAAUAUACAAGUGCGCUGGAAGUGCUGAUAGAGAUGAAAAACCAAGAUGUGAAAUUCAACAAAGAAACCUAUGUCCUUGCUUUUGCAAUUUGCUACAAACUGAAUAGCCCUGAAUCUUUGAAAAUCUGUACUACAUUAAGAGAAGAAGCCCUAAUCAAAGGAGAAGUCCUCUCCAGGAGAGCAUCCUGUUUUGCUGUGGCACUAGCUCUGAAUCAGAACCAGGUGGCGAAAGCUAUAUCAAUUUUUUCUCAAAUCAUGAAGCCAGAAAGCAUUAUCUGCACUAAUUUAAAUAUUUUGAUUCAUAUCCAGUCAAAUAUGUUGAAAACCCUGAUAAAGAUAUUAAAGGAUGCUGCAGACGGAAAUUUAUCAAAAUUUGUGAAAAGACAGGAGUUCUCAGAAGAAGUGGUGCAAAACAUCUGGAUACAUAGGGGGAAACAAAGAUAACCAGCACACCAUUGGUACUAGCAAAUCUCCUGACUUCAUUUUGCAGAUUCUGAGACAAAUAGUUGAUGGGAGUCCCAUGUCGUUGAGUUAAAGUUUUGGCAGGCCAUCAGAUUGGCAACAAAUAAAUUGCAUCCAGGCUGCUAAGGGGGACUGAAAAAUGAUUUCAGACAACAUGCAUCUAUUGAAUGUUUGAAAAAGAACCCGAGGAGAGAGAGUCUCUUAGGUAACUAUGCAUUCUAAUUUCUAGGUCUUAUUACAAGGGCACUUUGUAUCUAUACUAAUUAUCUCCUUUUGUCAUUAUUAUUCUUCAAACUAGAUGGACGUAGGCUUGAAUACCAUCCUAUAGAGCUACUAGUUUUAUGAUUCUGGUCAAUUUACUUACCCUCCCCUUGUCUGUUCUCUGGUUAUUCUUUUUAUUUAAAAUAAGUAGGUAGGACCUGGGAAAAAACAGGUCAGUUGCCCAGUGAAAGUUAUUGCCUUUCAUUUCCCCUCUCCCCACUUCCCAACAUGUACCAUAGCAUCAGCUCCGGAGAGUAUUUGUGCAGUUGAUAAUCUCCUUUUGGUCUAGAAUUAGCAUGCAUUUUCUUACAGUUACACACUCUGGGGUAAUGUCAGUUCGAAGGAAACGUUUGGUCCCUGUAUGGUCCAGUGGAGUAUCGUCUAAGAGAGCUACUUGUUAGCUGUCAAGGGGCCUUUCAAAGUGGCAUUUAUUCCGUGGGAAUUCACGGUGGUCCAAGACCUCAUCUUCAGCCUUGCAGUCAUGGAACCUGAUUUGUCCUAUACUGCUGGAGGGUCUCUCCUUCCCAGGAACUCUGUGUUAACUGUAGUCACAGAGAUUGAUACAUACAAACCGGAAUGCUGAUUCUUUAGCUUACAGUGAAAACUAUACCAGUGGUGGUGAUUGUGGUGGUGAUGCUAGUGGAGAAGGGCGGACAAUUGACUCGAGGUACAAAACAAGGGAAAUUGGCUCCACAAUGUCAGUUUUUAGCAGGCCCUGACAGCGUCCUCCCUCCUCUCACAACUAGAGCUUGCUGAGGUGGCCACCUCCCGCUUCUCGUGUUCUAGAUUCCAUUUUCUAUGUUCUAGUCCAUGCCUUUCUGUUCAUGCAUCUUUCUCCAACUAAAGCACAAUAACAUUCCAGUCCUGUCAUUGAGUUCUCUGGGGGUGAAAUCCUGGGUGCCCUCUACUCUCAAGUCACGCAGUUAGACUCCGUGGUCUACUCCUUACUACAUCAGAAUGCAUUUUCCUCUGGCCGAUGUUUCCUUCUUUAUGAGGGAAGAUCAAACAUUACAGUGGCCUGGACUUUCUUUUUUAUUUAUUAUUUAUUUUUAUUUUUUUUAAUAUGAAAUUUAUUGUCAAAUUGGUUUCCAUACAACACCCAGUGCUCCUCCCAACAGGUGCCCUCCUCAGUGCCCAUCAUCCAUCCUUCCCUCCCUCCCACUCCCCAUCAACCCUCAGUUUAUUGUCAGGUUUCACUCCCCCUUCACUCACCCCCUCCCCUCCUCACCCUCCAGGAAGAUAGAGUGGCUUCUCUACAUGGUAACUUUGGGGGACAAAUGGGUAUACAAGGGCAGCUCCUUUUUUUCUCUUUGGCAGUAGACCUGCUCACAGAGAGUGGGAUUUCUCCUGUGUGCCAAAGGUCAUGCUUCCCAUGUGAGAGGUCCAGCACUGCCUGAGUGGGAAAGUCUACCUCCUUAUGGGGUUCAGUAUUAGGGAGCCCCUCCCAAAGAUAAAAGCCUUGUUACCUGAUGUAGGUUUCUUCGUGAAAAAGGUGACCCCCCCAUCUAUGUUUCUUAUUUCUCAGUUGUUUCAGAAGUUGAGCAGGGGCUAAAUAAUGCUAUUUAUUAGGCCCUAUCAAGCAUCCUGUGGCUGUUAGAUGUUCACCACAGCCGCUGCCACUUCUUGCAGCACUACGCUGAUCAACUGUCCUCAUUCAUGUGGGAGGUCGGGCUUCAGGUGCUAAGACUGGGACAGUCCCAGGCAAACCAGCAUGAUUGGUUACCCUACGGGGCCCACAGGAAGAAUGUAUUUCCCACUCUCUCUUGCAGUGGGUUGAAACCAUGGAAUGUGGGUGUUAGUGAGGCCCUGUUGUAUUUUCCAUUACCCUCUAUGCCCUCUUUCUUUUUUAUCUGAAUGCCUGAAGGUAAAAGACACCAAGGUGGUGGGGCCAUUCAAUGGAAGAAGCCUAGGCCCUUGAAUCAACACUUGGAGGAAAGCCUCACAAUCCAUAUCAGAUGUGAUGAGAGUGAUAAAUAAAGUCUUAAUUGUGUUAA